UAUGAACCAAGGCGAGGAGAGACGGCUGGCUGGAGGUUUCUUGAAGCGGCGUGACUGCAGCGUUGGAGAACUGCGACCAGGAGGAACAACGAACUGGCACCGGCUGAUGAUCCUGGAGGAGUUUAUGAAGGCAGGUGUAGAUGAGGUAAGUGGAUCCAGCUGGUCGCGUCAAACACAGGAAGGAGGGGGGAGGAGGGAGUAACUGACAGGCCAUGACAAUA